CUGGUCCCCCCUUACUACUCUUCCAGCGCAGCACCUUGCGCCCCGUUGAAAGGGGACAAAGAGCCCGGGGGAGAAGAACCGGUGGCUCUGCGGUCGCUUUUGUGCCCGUGUAGGAUUUCGAUCAGCUGUGGAACUGCUGUCAUGGGCAGUACCGCCCAGGGUCGUGGCUUGGCCAUACCCCUUACAGGCAGCACUGCCCAGAGCAGUGGCUUGGCUGUGCCCCUCACAAUCACCCAUGAAGCUGAUGCCCUGCGACUCUACCAGGAUCAACUGGGUGUUGCUGUUUGUGAAACUGGUAUCUGGCUUCACGAGGCGGUCCUUGGAGCAUCUCCAGGUGGCAUUGUUCUCUGCCCCCCAUCAAGAGAGAAGAUAUUCUGGCAAACACCAGAGGCCCAGGACGUGGUGAAUUGAUCGAGGUCAAGUGUCCGUAUUUACCGGAACAGAUGAAAAUAAUCGAUGCGGCAAAGACACAAAAUCUUUCUUUUU